GCCAAGUGAUAGCUCAGUCAGUAGGGCAUGAGACUCUUAAGCUCAGAGUUGUGGGUUCAAGCCCCAUGUUGGGCA